UACGUACUCCCUCUGUACGGAAAUACUUGUCAUCAAAAUGAAUAAAAGGGGAUGUAUCUAGAUGUAUUUUAGUUUUAGAUACAUCCCUUUUUGUCCAUUUUGAUGACAAGUAUUUUCGGACGGAGGGAGUACUUC
rfam:Triticum aestivum genome assembly, contig: Triticum_aestivum_CS42_TGACv1_scaffold_527127_6DL